rnacentral:rRNA from 1 species
GAUGAACGCUGGCGGCGUGCCUAAUACAUGCCAGUCGAGCGAAUGGAUUAAGAGCUUGCUCUUAUGAAGUUAGCGGCGGACGGGUGAGUAACACGUGGGUAACCUGCCCAUAAGACUGGGAUAACUCUGGGAAACCGGGGCUAAUACAGGAUAACAUUUUGAAUCGCCUGGUUCGAACUUGAAAGCCUGCUUCGGCUGACACUUAUGGAUGGACCCGCGUCGCAGUAGCUAGUUAGCGAGGUAACGGCGCACCAAGGCAACGAAGCGUAGCUGACCUGAGAGGGUGAUCGGCCACACUGGGACUGAGACACGGUCCAGACUCCUACGGGAGGCAGCAGUAGGGAAUCUUCCGCAAUGGACGAAAGUCUGACGGAGCAACGCCGCGUGAGUGAUGAAGGCUUUCGGGUCGUAAAACUCUGUUGUUAGGGAAGAACAAGUGCUAGUUGAAUAAGCUGACACCUUGACGGUACCUAACCAGAAAGCCACGGCUAACUACGUGCCAGCCGCCGCAGUAA